GGCCGGGAACUCAAAGGAGACUGCCAGUGAUAAACUGGAGGAAGGUGGGGAUGACGUCAAGUCAUCAUGGCCCUUACGACCAGGGCUACACACGUGCUACAAUGGCAUAUACAAAGAGAAGCGACCUCGCGAGAGCAAGCGGACCUCAUAAAGUAUGUCGUAGUCCGGAUUGGAGUCUGCAACUCGACUCCAUGAAGUCGGAAUCGCUAGUAAUCGUAGAUCAGAAUGCUACGGUGAAUACGUUCCCGGGCCUUGUACACACCGCCCGUCACACCAUGGGAGU
rnacentral:rRNA from 2 species